GUGAACGCUGGCGGUAGGCCUAACACAUGCAAGUCGAACGGCAGCACAGUAAGAGCUUGCUCUUACGGGUGGCGAGUGGCGGGCGGGUGAGGAAUACAUCGGAAUCUACUUUUUCGUGGGGGAUAACGUAGGGAAACUUACGCUAAUACCGCAUACGACCUACGGGUGAAAGCAGGGGAUCUUCGGACCUUGCGCGAUUGAAUGAGCCGAUGUCGGAUUAGCUAGUUGGCGGGGUAAAGGCCCACCAAGGCGACGAUCCGUAGCUGGUCUGAGAGGAUGAUCCGCCACACUGGAACUGAGACACGGUCCAGACUCCUACGGGAGGCAGCAGUGGGGAAUAUUGGACAAUGGGCGCAAGCCUGAUCCAGCCAUACCGCGUGGGUGAAGAAGGCCUUCGGGUUGUAAAGCCCUUUUGUUGGGAAAGAAAAGCAGCAGGUUAAUACCCCGCUGUUCUGACGGUACCCAAAGAAUAAGCACCGGCUAACUUCGUG
rnacentral:rRNA from 1 species